ACGUUCGCGCGCAAUGGGCAAGCCAGUUGGCAGUCUUUGCGCUAGAAGCGAAAGUGCACUUUCUGAUUCUUUUUUUUUUUUUGCUCAUAAAUCACGACCGUCACAACCGACGAAGCCCGUUCCUGUUGUCUUAGUGUUAAGGUAACGGCAUCUUUCAUUCUGCGAGCACAAAUCUUUGCACCUUGGUGUUCCCUUUAAAAACCUCUCUCCUAUGCAACAUGCUAAGCUGGAACUAUGGUUCUUGUGCAAGAACAAAGCAUGGUAUAUGCUACUGCACGGCAUGGCACGGCACGGUAAACAAUUCUGGCGAAUUCCACUGGUCCAUCUGGAGCAAUCACCCGAAUCCGCCACAGAGCAACAAAAUUCGGCAAGCAGGGACCGAAUCUGGACCCAUCAGCGACAAACAAUCGCUCUGCAUCCAAUAGCCUGACAGAAGUCGUUCAGCGAAUAUGGUAACCCCAGCAACUCCGAACGACGUUCCCUGUAUUUGCUCAGCCUUGCAAGAUGUGGAGGUGACGACAGUGCUCGGUGGGUGUUCCAGUCCAAUCCGAUGGUCCUCGUCGGAGCAAGAAAGAGCGUUAUACCAUCUGGUCCCUGUGAUUGCUCCAGAAGUGUCGAAGACUUUCACUGGCAGAUGCAAGGAUGGUGUCCGCCUGCCUUCAGCUCUCCAGUGUGAGAACACGGAUACGGCACGUACCAGCGAUAUAAAAUUGGAGGAAUGAGAAUAAAUAUAAACAGUCGUGCCCA